CCAAUAAUAUGAACAAGCUUUCGUUGGUAGAAAUGCAACUACUUACAUUUUUCAUCAGGUAUAGUUGCAUCCCUACCAAAGAAAACUUGUUCAUAUUAAGUU